GUGCUCACUUUGACAGCACAUAUACCAGAAUUGGAACUAUUCAGAGGUUAGCACAGCCCCUGCUCAAGGAUGACAUGCAAAUUCAUGAGGCAUUCUAUGUAUUU
ensembl:snRNA U6 U6 spliceosomal RNA